rnacentral:rRNA from 1 species
AUGAACGCUUGCGGCGUGCCUAAUACAUGCAAGUCGAGCGAACGGACGAGAAGCUUUCUUCUCUGAUGUUAGCGGCGGACGGGUGAGUAACACGUGGAUAACCUACCUAUAAGACUGGGAUAACUUCGGGAAACCGGAGCUAAUACCGGAUAAUAUUUUGAACCGCAUGGUUCAAAAGUGAAAGACGGUCUUGCUGUCACUUAUAGAUGGAUCCGCGCUGCAUUAGCUAGUUGGUAAGGUAACGGCUUACCAAGGCAACGAUGCAUAGCCGACCUGAGAGGGUGAUCGGCCACACUGGAACUGAGACACGGUCCAGACUCCUACGGGAGGCAGCAGUAGGGAAUCUUCCGCAAUGGGCGAAAGCCUGACGGAGCAACGCCGCGUGAGUGAUGAAGGUCUUCGGAUCGUAAAACUCUGUUAUUAGGGAAGAACAUAUGUGUAAGUAACUGUGCACAUCUUGACGGUACCUAAUCAGAAAGCCACGGCUAACUACGUG